GAUGAACGCUGGCGGCGUGCCUAAUACAUGCAAGUCGAGCGAACAGACGAGGAGCUUGCUCCUCUGACGUUAGCGGCGGACGGGUGAGUAACACGUGGAUAACCUACCUAUAAGACUGGGAUAACUUCGGGAAACCGGAGCUAAUACCGGAUAAUAUAUUGAACCGCAUGGUUCAAUAGUGAAAGACGGUUUUGCUGUCACUUAUAGAUGGAUCCGCGCCGCAUUAGCUAGUUGGUAAGGUAACGGCUUACCAAGGCAACGAUGCGUAGCCGACCUGAGAGGGUGAUCGGCCACACUGGAGCUGAGACACGGUCCAGACGCCUACGGGAGGCAGCAGUAGGGAAUCUUCCGCAAUGGGCGAAAGCCUGACGGAGCAACGCCGCGUGAGUGAUGAAGGUCUUCGGAGCGUAAAACUCUGUUAUUGGGGAAGAACAAAUGUGGAAGUAACUAUGCACGUCUUGACGGUACCUAAUCAGAAAGCCACGGCUAACUACGUG
rnacentral:rRNA from 1 species